rnacentral:rRNA from 1 species
AUACGGAAGGUGCGAGCGUUAUCCGGAAUCACUGGGUUUAAAGGGUGCGUAGGCGGCCUGGUAAGUCAGGGGUGAAAGUCCAGGGCUUAACCGUGGGAUUGCCUUUGAUACUGCUGGGCUUGAAUGAGGUUGAGGUGGGCGGAAUGUGGCAUGUAACGGUGAAAUGUGUAGAUAUGCCAUAGAACACCGAUUGCGAAGGCAGCUCACUGAACCUUUAUUGACGCUGAGGCACGAAAGCGUGGGGAGCGAACAGGAUUAGAUACCCUAGUAGUCC